UUUUCAAGAUGAAAAGUUGCUAAAGAAAGAGAAAGGGAAGCGGUUUGCUCCAGUGUUCCUCUUUCUACCUUCCCACUGACUGGGAAGUGGCCGUUAGCAGAGCCACAGCCUUGGAUUAGAGAUAAGAGGCACAUGCUGAGGAAGGUGGAGUCUCCCCCACAGCCCUGGACCAGAAAUUAGUUGAUAACACCUUCCAGGAGACCUAUGGCCAUCCUACUGAUAUGAACCAGAUCAUACCCGCCCUGAUGGGAUGCCAGAGAAAGACUGCUGCAGGGGCUCCUCUGGAAACAGAACAGAGGGAGGAAGAUACCUUCCCUGAAGCCCAGAUGUUCCAGAAGCCUGCACCUCAUUCACAAAGUCACCCCAAAAAUGCCCUAGAGUUUGGAGUUUUGAAGAAGCGGGAAGAAAGCCUGAGUAAGGGCCUGGGAACCAAGUUAGAUCCUGAUUCAGCGUCAGCACACACCAGCAAUGGCACACACAGGUGGAGAGCAGCCUGCCCAUCUUUUCCAUAGUGCGCACAGACCCAUUUAGGAUGAAAGAUCAGAAAAUUCUAUCCAUGUCACCACUUCUGAAACAUGUGAAUAUUAAUUUUUGGAGACUAAAAGGCCAUGGCAAGUUUUCAUUGGUUUUAUCUUAUUCAUGAUUAUAGAGUUGAAAGAAUACAUAUUCCCAUGGGAAUCAAUGAAGACAUACUCAUUUUGAAUGA